ensembl:lincRNA
AAGGUCCCCCACACGGGGUCCUCAGAGCUCACAGCAUUUGCUUCUCUUUGCACCAGUGGGAGGCAGAGGGGGAAGGGGCUCGCCGUGGCUCCUGGGGUUUAGGAUCCUGUGGGGGUAGCGGCUGCCUUGCUACAGUCCUUCCCCACAGAUGAGCUUCAGGGGGCCCCACAGAGCCUGAUUUCCUGGCCUGCGCGCACGGCUACCACCAGGACAUAUGACCCUGCAUGUGUGACUUGCCAGCCUUCUGCCAGAGGGGCGCGAGCAGCUCUGACGUGGCCCAGCCUUGAGCCUCUGCAUCCCACCGUCCCCUCCCUCCUGGCAGAGAUCAGCUCCUCCAGCACUGUCCACUCAACCUCCCACAACCCACAAUGACGCCUUUGUACGCAGGUAAUGUUGCCCAGCCAUGUAUGGGGCUUGAAGUCACGCAUAAUUUGGGGACAGAAUGUGGCUUUUAAGUCACGUGCUAACCAGCCUGAUUUGCAAGGUAGGGGUCCAGUGCAGUGACUGUCAUUGGGGGUAGCCUGGAGACGUCCAUGUCAUGAAUCCCGGCAUUAUGUGGCUCCAGACUGUUAACCCAAACAGGAAGAUCCAGUCACUUGGACCUCCUGCUCCUGCUCUGGCCUUGUUCCCGCGGUUACUCUCUUUGCUCCACGCCAGCUCCUCCAGGAAGCCUUCCCUGAAGGAUCCGGGCCUGCGGGAGCCUCUUUGCUGUAGGAAGAUCCCACCUCUGGGUUCUUUCAGGCCUGACCACCUGUCAGGCAGCACCUGGCAGCCAGGAGCACACAGCAGCCAGCCCCUUCCAGGGGGCAGAGUCACAGCCAUCCCCAUGUCACAGGGGACCAAGGCCCAGCAAGCAGGGCCUUCCUCGCUGUUGAGCCCCAGGUCUGGUGUCAAGGUGCCUUGUGGUGUGUGGAGGGGCCUCAGGAGAGCCAGGCUGGGGUGGGUUAGGGGACUGCACUCCCCAGGUUGUGAGAGCGGCUGGUCCCUAAAGGCCCCAGCCCGGGCCUUAGGGUGGCAGGAAUGGGUGGAGGCUGAGGAGGUGGGGCCAGAGGAGAGCACUAGGCCCAGGUGGACCUGGGAAGCAGGCUGUGGGCGGCAGCCAGUGGCCCUGCAGGCUUCCCAGUCUUCAUCCUUAGAGCAGCAUCGAGGUCCAAGUCUGUCAGAGUGGGGUGGGGGCCCAAGGCAGAUGCCCUGCCCGCCGGCUGAGGACUUGGAGACCAUCCUGUCUGCUGUCUGCUUCAAUCUGCAGCUCCACACCCCAGAUCCCACUGCCAGCCGUGCCCUGUCACAUCCUCUUCAGCCCUUGUGACACUGUGUCCACAGUUCCUGAGAUGCUUCCAGGUCCUCCUCAGUGCAUGGCUGUCAUAAGACAGAGUGAGGACAGGAGGGGAGUGCGGAGCUCCCGGGUAAGGAGACCCCACGUCCCAUGGGCACGGCUGGUGUUCUUCCCGACAUGGCCCACUGGGCAGCCUGCUUGGCCCUCACCCUAGCUGAGUGCCAUCUGGGCAGGACGCAGGCCCUGUGGUCGUCGUUGAGGGGAGGGAAGGGGUGGAGCUCGGAGUUGACUCCCGUGGCUGAACUGGGACUGAACGGAACCACUUGGAAAUGAGGUGCCAGCUCCUGGGAGAGGCGAGUGGCUGCUGCCCCCAGAGGCCAUGGUGGGUACUGCACCCAGGUGUGUGGUCCCCGGGGAGCCUGGAGGCACUUGUCCGAGGCCAGGCGGUGGGGACACUGGUGACUCUGAUCUUGGCUGCCCGACAAGAGGACUGGUGCAUCUCUAACCCACUGCAGAAAUCGGGCUUGUCAGCCAAGGUGUACACUGCUAGUGGAAAUACCCAGAAACGGUGGAAUAAAGAUGUUCCAGGACUACGGUUGAAGUUUGAUCAUCAACAAACCCAGACUACAAGAAACAUCCAGGGCAGAAACGUCCUGGCUAAAAGGAAAUCAUAGCAGGUGCCAACUUCGCUCUACAAGAGCAAGGGCAGGGCCCCGGGAAUCCCAAGUAUGUGGGUGUCUAGGCGAGGUGCUUUCCUGGGCUGUAACUUUUUCUUCGAAAGAUAUUGUUUAAAGGAACAUGUAUUACAAUAAAAGCACAAAAUGCGGGCAGAGAC